rnacentral:rRNA from 1 species
AAGCAAUGGCCUCCUGAACGUGCGUUGCAUUGGGAUUUCCUGAGAGUAUGUCUGCUUCAGUGCUUAA